ensembl:lncRNA
GGCGGGAGCGGAGAGGGCCGUGGCCUUUGCCCUUGCUGCGCAGGCGCUUUGCUCUCUGCACUUCCGACGGAGGUGCCGGGCGCAGCCAUGUUGUAUUGAGGUGCGGGCAGCAACUCUUCAGCACACUGUUCGUGGACUUGGGGUGUUGGUGUGGCAGUUCUGUACCGGAAACUCUUAAGGCCUCUGCAUAUGGCUCCCUAGAGCGACAGCCCACCAGGCUCCCCCGUCCCUGGGAUUCUCCAAGCAAGAACUCUGGAGUGGGUUGCCAUUUCCUUCUUCAAUGCAUGAAAGGGAAAAGUGAAAGUGAAGUUGCUCAGUCAUGUCUGACUCUUCGCGACCCCAUGGACUGCAGCCCACCAGGCUCCUCUGCCCAUGGGAUUUUCCAGGGAUCAGAGGUCAGAGUGAGCAUCUCUCUUGCCGGCAGCAGGAAGAAGAGAGCAGUGGAUUCCCUGGGAGAAAACGUGUGGGCUGCCACCACCAUGGAACUUCAGUACCAAUAACAGCAGAAUGGCCUGGACUCAUUCUCCCAAGGCCCACCCAGCUGCAGAUUUACACUUGAACGGAUGCAACCUUGACAGAACUGAUCAGCAGAAGAAAUCUACCCAGAACCUAGAAAGAGGGGCUUACACCUCAAUUUUGAAAUUGUUCUUACAGAUCUUAAAAGACCUGGCCAUCAAAUAAAAAUAAUUGGUAGCAUAAUGUCUAGCAGAAAGGAGACUUAUGGCUCAUGAAGCUGAAGUCAUGGAAGUUCAAAAUAGGAGAUUACCUGGACAUAGGAGAAACUGCUCCAAAUCAGGCACCACCUCCUUCAGGGCACAUAAGACCACGUAAAAUUUUAUUUGCUCUUUCUUGAAUUUAUUUUUCAAUCAAUAAUUAUUAAUAUAGUCAUCAUAUUAUUA